GACGAACGCUGGCGGCGUGCCUAAUACAUGCAAGUUGAGCGCUGAAGGUUGGUACUUGUACCAACUGGAUGAGCAGCGAACGGGUGAGUAACGCGUGGGGAAUCUGCCUUUGAGCGGGGGACAACAUUUGGAAACGAAUGCUAAUACCGCAUAAAAACUUUAAACACAAGUUUUAAGUUUGAAAGAUGCAAUUGCAUCACUCAAAGAUGAUCCCGCGUUGUAUUAGCUAGUUGGUGAGGUAAAGGCUCACCAAGGCGAUGAUACAUAGCCGACCUGAGAGGGUGAUCGGCCACAUUGGGACUGAGACACGGCCCAAACUCCUACGGGAGGCAGCAGUAGGGAAUCUUCGGCAAUGGACGAAAGUCUGACCGAGCAACGCCGGGGGAGUGAAGAAGGUUUUCGGAUCGUAAAACUCGGUUGGUAGAGAAGAAAGUUGGUGAGAGUGGAAAGCUCAUCAAGUGACGGUAACUACCCAGAAAGGGACGGCUAACUACGUG
rnacentral:rRNA from 1 species